GACGAACGCUGGCGGCGUGCUUAACACAUGCAAGUCGAACGGUGAACCAGAGCUUGCUCUGGGGAUCAGUGGCGAACGGGUGAGUAACACGUGGGCAACCUGCCCAGACUCUGGGAUAACUCCGGGAAACCGGAGCUAAUACCGGAUACGACUACUUCGGACAUCCGACGGUAGUGGAAAGUUUUUCGGUCUGGGAUGGGCCCGCGGCCUAUCAGCUAGUUGGUGGGGUAAUGGCCUACCAAGGCGACGACGGGUAGCCGGCCUGAGAGGGCGACCGGCCACACUGGAACUGAGACACGGUCCAGACUCCUACGGGAGGCAGCAGUGGGGAAUAUUGCACAAUGGGCGAAAGCCUGAUGCAGCGACGCCGCGUGAGGGACGACGGCCUCGGUUGUAAACCGUCUUUCAGUCA
rnacentral:rRNA from 1 species